rnacentral:rRNA from 1 species
UACGGAGAGGGCUGGUGUUAUUCGCAUUGACUGGGUGUAAAGGGUCUGUAGGUGGCUUGCUAAGUCAGACGUGAAAUCCCUCAGCUUAACUGGGGAACUGCGUCUGAGACUGGCGAGCUUGAGGGCAGGAGAGGAACGCGGAAUUCCAGGUGUAGCGGUGAAAUGCGUAGAUAUCUGGAGGAACACCGGUGGCGAAGGCGGCGUUCUGGACUGCAUCUGACACUGAAAGACGAAAGCCAGGGGAGCAAACGGG